rnacentral:tRNA from 1 species
CAAGGUGUAGCUAAAACAAGUAAAGCAUCUCCCUUACACUGAGAAGUCGUCCGUGCAAAUCGGACCACCCUGA